rnacentral:rRNA from 1 species
AUACAUGCAAGUCGAGCGGACCGACGGGAGCUUGCUCCCUUAGGUCAGCGGCGGACGGGUGAGUAACACGUGGGUAACCUGCCUGUAAGACUGGGAUAACUCCGGGAAACCGGGGCUAAUACCGGAUGCUUGAUUGAACCGCAUGGUUCAAUCAUAAAAGGUGGCUUUYAGCUACCACUURCAGAUGGACCCGCGGCGCAUUAGCUAGUUGGUGAGGUAACGGCUCACCAAGGCGACGAUGCGUAGCCGACCUGAGAGGGUGAUCGGCCACACUGGGACUGAGACACGGCCCAGACUCCUACGGGAGGCAGCAGUAGGGAAUCUUCCGCAAUGGACGAAAGUCUGACGGAGCAACGCCGCGUGAGUGAUGAAGGUUUUCGGAUCGUAAAACUCUGUUGUUAGGGAAGAACAAGUACCGUUCGAAUAGGGCGGCACC